rnacentral:tRNA from 1 species
UCCCACAUGGUCUAGCAGUUAGGAUUCUUGGUUUUUACCUAGGUGACCAGGGUUUGACUCCCAGUGUGGGAA